UCUCUUCUCCCUCUCUCUCUCUCUUCAAAGCGGAAAUGGCAAGGUUACAGGUGCCUUUCAACUCCCGCAGACCAUGCACGGUUGAUUCGGGAAAGAGGAAUUAAUGAUUUCAUCCUUCCUCCAUCAGGUUUUAUCCGUUGAAGAGUGCGUCGAGGAUCUUGGAAGCGAAUUCUCAGUUCCAUUCGGGACAAAGACUGCACUCGAAAAGAUCUGUGCAUCGAUCGCGUUCGAGCGUAGAUCGGAUAUCCAAAGCCCCACUUCGCUGCACCUGAAGAAGGUCCGUAAUUCUCCCUUCCCUUUUUUUUUUUUUUGCAUUUUUCUUUCUAUUUUCUUGAGUUAUUAUGUGUUAGUUUGUUAUUAGAGCAUGUUAAUUAGUUAGCUUAACAGAAAGACCUAUUUGUAUUCUAGUAUUUUUUGGAUUUAGUUAGUCUUGUAUGUUAGUGUAACUAAGCAUAUUUUUCUGGGUUAAUUUAGUAGUUAAAUUAUGUUUAUGUAUGCUAGUUAAUUUGAUUUUCUAAAAUAUCUUGGCUAUGUAAUGUUUAGUCUAAUCUGUAUCUAAUCAAGUACACUUAUAGGUGUUAGCCUUGGUUUGGUUGUUAAGCAUGUCUCAAGUAUUAUCUUUAUCUUAAUCUGUCCUGUUGAAUUUGUGCCUAUGUCAGUAAGCUCAUUUUGUCUAGCAUGCUUGUAUUAGUUUUAAUAUGCUUGUUAAGUAGUUAAUUAAGCCUGCUUAAGCUGAGCAUGUUUAGCCCAACUUGAUUCAUCUUAAUCUGUUAAUGUAUUAGUUUAGUCUGGAUAAGCAUAUUUGUGUCAGCUCAAGCAUGAUAUUUAGUUUAAGUUAAUCAUGUUUAUAUGCUAGUUUAGCUUAGUUUGUACAGCAUACUUGUGUAAGCUUAAUCUGCCUAUUUUAAGCACGAAGGUUCAGCCUGUUUAAUUGAGCAUGUUUAGUCUAGUUUGGUUCUUUUAGUUUAAACCAAUUAUAUGUUGGUCUUUACAAGCAUGUUCAUGUCAGAUUGAAUUAGUCAAAUGAUAGUUAGCUUAUUUAAGUACACUUAAGUGUUAGUUUAGUUUGGUUAGCCAAGUUAGAUGUUUAUCCAGUUUGGCUCUUGUGUUGAGUUAGUCGGUUCAGUUAAGCAUAUUCAUGUGAUAGUUCAGUUUGUUAAGUUGAACCUGUUUUGCAUGAAGUUUAGAUAGUUGAGUUGAUAAUAAUGGCAUGGUCAAGACACUGUCAUUCCUAAAUCUUGUUGUUUUAGUCCAGUUUUGUUUCCUUUGUCAUCUGGGCAUGUGAUUUAAUUUGGACCGUGUUAGAUGUAGUUCUUAGUUUAGUUUAAAUAGGAUAGUGACCCUAUGAAUGGUUUGAGUACGGUACUAUUAAAAGUCUAAGCCUGUUGAAAUCAUGUUCUUAUUUUGCUGAAGUUAAAUCCUAUUCGAAUGUGCAAACCCUUGCUUCCAAACAUUGCUAGAUAAACUGAUGUGAUGCUUGUUUAAAGUCAUACUUUGGCCUAGAAAUCUGUUAAGUGUGUCAACUUGGUUAAUUCCUAUAUAUUUGAUCAUCUAAUUGACUGUUCUGUUUACUUAUGUAUGAGAGAUUGGUCUAUUCUGAUUUAAAUGCACAUUAAGCAUAUAUGUAAGUCUUUGUGUUUUGACAUCACGAUUAGCAUAUAAAUUGAUGUGUAUCCUUGAAGCAUGCCAGUACUUGUCCAAUGUUUAAGUUUGGGACCUAUGUUUUGACACUUUAAAUUAUCUCUGUGCCUUGUUGUGUACUGUCCAUUACAAUGAGAUAUCAAUAGUAAAAAUAGAACCCUCAUGACUGCUAAACUUGAAGCUAUAUUAUUGGAAAAGGAAACUUAUUUGGCUCAAUAAGAUAAACCAUACCUUUGUGUGUGUCUUAAUGACUCUAUGGCCAAACUAUAAAGCUUGUACCCUGAACUUAUUAUUGGUUGUGGUGUUAUAAAUCUCAAAUUAUACCUCAAGCAUGUUAGAUUUAGUUUCAGCAUCUGAGAACCCUUAUUGAUCUGUGGAGACUUGAGAUGACAUAGGAAGUCUUUUGAUGAUAAAACUAGUUAAAUGGCUUUGUGUGUGGCUCUGUAUGCUUGCCUCAUUACUUGGUAUGUCUGUUGUGCCUAUAUGUGUGUUUGAACUGAGUACAAAAUAUGGAGUUAAAUGUAAUCUGAAGCUAGCAUGUUUUGUUUGAACAUAUGUUUAUGUUAUGAGUUUAUCCCUAGUUUAAAGAUCUCAUUGACUUAUGUUGUACCUCAAACAUGCCCCGUUUCAGGUCAAAAUAGGACCUGUACAUCAUUGAAUAAUGAUCCUACAUAUUACUAGUUUGAUUGCUUCCUGCAUAAAGCCAAUGAGUGUUAGAUGCCUUAUCAUGAUUUAUCCUUUGUUGUUCUCUUCUUUUGUAUGACUUUCUGCAUAGUAUACAAAGGGAUAUACCAAUAUAUACAAGGUAUAUCCAGUUCUAUAUAUAUACAAGUAUAUAGAGGCUGGUAUAUCUAGUAUAUUGCAGGUAUAUCGCCCACGUGAGUCUAUAAAUAUUGGUCUAUUGUUAAAUUUCGUUUCGAGUUUGGGCCUACUUUAUUUCCUUUUAUUGCUUUGACAGGUUUUGGGCCUGCUUUCGUCCUUGUUACUUUUACCAUUUAAUUGGGCCUGUCUGAAUUUACCCCUCAACUGUUUGGGCUUGCUUUCUCAUCUCUUUAAGUUCUCCUUUUUCAUUGCAUAAAUAAAUAUAGCCCGUGUGCAUGUUGUAUACGUAAUUCAUGCAUGUUUAUACUUAGUAUUGAAUGAGUGUAGAUGCUUUCUAACCGCAAUUUAUAUUAUGUUGGUUGUCGAUCAUAAAAUCUUGUAUAUUAUAAAAUCAUGUCACCGUUCUAAUUCUUUCAUUUUCCUUUCUUUUUCUUUUGCAUGACAUCCGGAGUUGCGAGGAGUCUCAAACGAGACUCAAAAUCAUCAGUAUAUCCAGGACACUGGCAUUUCGUCCAUCUCAAGCACCUCCCUCGUUCCCUUGUGAUAUCUCCGAACAAAAAAAAAUGAAAGGAAAUAAAUGGGAAAUACAGAACCUGCGUCUAUUUCUCCGCUCGCUCCUUUCCCUCGUCAGAGAAGAAAUAGCACCUGUUGCAUUUUUAACUUGACCGAAACUAAUUGUUUUUGUUCUUCUUAUUUGUGACUGUUCGUGUGAUUCGUUUAAAUUUUUUGACACUAUAAUACUUAGUUUUGAGGGGAUAGAUAUAGGCAUAUUAUUUUAGUGACUAUCAAACGUAAUAUUUUUCUAAGUUUCUUUUCUAA